GGCGUGCUAAUCUGCGAUAAGCGCCGGUAAGGUGAUAUGAACCGUUAUAACCGGCGAUACCCGAAUGGGGAAACCCAGUGUGAUUCGUCACACUAUCAUUAACUGAAUCCAUAGGUUAAUGAGGCGAACCGGGGGAACUGAAACAUCUAAGUACCCCGAGGAAAAGAAAUCAACCGAGAUUCCCCCAGUAGCGGCGAGCGAACGGGGAGGAGCCCAGAGCCUGAAUCAGCAUGUGUGUUAGUGGAAGCGUCUGGAAAGGCGCGCGAUACAGGGUGACAGCCCCGUACACAAAAGCGCAUGUGCUGUGAGCUCGAUGAGUAGGGCGGGACACGUGGUAUCCUGUCUGAAUAUGGGGGGACCAUCCUCCAAGGCUAAAUACUCCUGACUGACCGAUAGUGAACCAGUACCGUGAGGGAAAGGCGAAAAGAACCCCGGCGAGGGGAGUGAAAAAGAACCUGAAACCGUGUACGUACAAGCAGUGGGAGCACAGGUUUACCUGUGUGACUGCGUACCUUUUGUAUAAUGGGUCAGCGACUUAUAUUCUGUAGCAAGGUUAACCGUAUAGGGGAGCCGGAGGGAAACCGAGUCUUAACCGGGCGUUAAGUUGCAGGGUAUAGACCCGAAACCCGGUGAUCUAGCCAUGGGCAGGUUGAAGGUUGGGUAACACUAACUGGAGGACCGAACCGACUAAUGUUGAAAAAUUAGCGGAUGACCUGUGGCUGGGGGUGAAAGGCCAAUCAAACCGGGAGAUAGCUGGUUCUCCCCGAAAGCUAUUUAGGUAGCGCCUCGUGAAUUCAUCUCCGGGGGUAGAGCACUGUUUCGGCUAGGGGGCCAUCCCGGCUUACCAACCCGAUGCAAACUGCGAAUACCGGAGAAUGUUAUCACGGGAGACACACGGCGGGUGCUAACGUCCGUCGUGAAGAGGGAAACAACCCAGACCGCCAGCUAAGGUCCCAAAGUCAUGGUUAAGUGGGAAACGAUGUGGGAAGGCCCAGACAGCCAGGAUGUUGGCUUAGAAGCAGCCAUCAUUUAAAGAAAGCGUAAUAGCUCACUGGUCGAGUCGGCCUGCGCGGAAGAUGUAACGGGGCUAAACCAUGCACCGAAGCUGCGGCAGCGAACGUAUCACUUAAAGCGAUUCAGCGGGUUACGAUUGACGGAGCGAAGCGACGUCAAAGCGUAUACAAAGUCGAGUCGGUUUAAGGAUACGUUCGUUGGGUAGGGGAGCGUUCUGUAAGCCUGUGAAGGUGUGUCGUGAGGCAUGCUGGAGGUAUCAGAAGUGCGAAUGCUGACAUAAGUAACGAUAAAGCGGGUGAAAAGCCCGCUCGCCGGAAGACCAAGGGUUCCUGUCCAACGUUAAUCGGGGCAGGGUGAGUCGACCCCUAAGGCGAGGCCGAAAGGCGUAGUCGAUGGGAAACGGGUUAAUAUUCCCGUACUUGGUGUUACUGCGAAGGGGGGACGGAGAAGGCUAUGUUGGCCGGGCGACGGUUGUCCCGGUUUAAGCGUGUAGGUGUGUGUUCCAGGUAAAUCCGGUUCACUUUAACACUGAGGCGUGAUGACGAGGCACUACGGUGCUGAAGCAACAAAUGCCCUGCUUCCAGGAAAAGCCUCUAAGCAUCAGGUAACAUCAAAUCGUACCCCAAACCGACACAGGUGGUCAGGUAGAGAAUACCAAGGCGCUUGAGAGAACUCGGGUGAAGGAACUAGGCAAAAUGGUGCCGUAACUUCGGGAGAAGGCACGCUGACACGUAGGUGAAGUGAUUUACUCAUGGAGCUGAAGUCAGUCGAAGAUACCAGCUGGCUGCAACUGUUUAUUAAAAACACAGCACUGUGCAAACACGAAAGUGGACGUAUACGGUGUGACGCCUGCCCGGUGCCGGAAGGUUAAUUGAUGGGGUCAGCGCAAGCGAAGCUCCUGAUCGAAGCCCCGGUAAACGGCGGCCGUAACUAUAACGGUCCUAAGGUAGCGAAAUUCCUUGUCGGGUAAGUUCCGACCUGCACGAAUGGCGUAAUGAUGGCCAGGCUGUCUCCACCCGAGACUCAGUGAAAUUGAACUCGCUGUGAAGAUGCAGUGUACCCGCGGCAAGACGGAAAGACCCCGUGAACCUUUACUAUAGCUUGACACUGAACAUUGAGCCUUGAUGUGUAGGAUAGGUGGGAGGCUUUGAAGCGUGGACGCCAGUCUGCGUGGAGCCGACCUUGAAAUACCACCCUUUAAUGUUU
rnacentral:rRNA from 1 species